GUACGAGUCACCACCACCACCUCCAUACAAGUAUGAAUCCCCGCCACCUCCACCUUAUUACUACAAGUCCCCUCCACCACCACCAUACAAGUACGAGUCGCCACCACCUCCUCCGUACAAGUAUGAAUCUCCACCACCACCAGUUUACAAAUACAAGUCACCUCCGCCGCCACCUUAUUACUACAAAUCCCCACCGCCACCUCCAUACAAGUACGAGUCUCCACCUCCUCCUCCGUACAAGUAUGAAUCUCCACCACCACCACCUUAUUACUACAAAUCCCCCCCGCCACCUCCAUACAAGUACGAGUCACCGCCUCCUCCUCCGUACAAGUAUGAAUCUCCACCACCGCCAGUUUACAAAUACAAGUCACCCCCGCCACCACCUUAUUACUACAAAUCCCCGCCACCACCUCCAUACAAGUACGAGUCUCCACCUCCUCCUCCGUACAAGUAUGAAUCUCCACCACCACCUCCUUAUUACUACAAAUCCCCGCCGCCACCUCCCUACAAGUAUGAAUCCCCGCCACCACCUCCCUACAAAUACGAGUCACCUCCACCACCACCUUACUAUUACAAAUCUCCUCCACCGCCUCCAUACAAGUAUGAGUCGCCACCACCACCAGUCUACAAAUACGAGUCUCCGCCACCCCCAGUUUACAAAUACAAGUCGCCCCCUCCACCUUAUUACUACAAGUCUCCGCCACCCCCGCCAUACAAAUAUGAAUCCCCACCUCCACCUCCCUACAAGUAUGAAUCGCCUCCUCCUCCACCUUACUACUACAAGUCCCCUCCACCACCUCCCUACAAAUAUGAAUCCCCGCCACCACCUCCCUAUAAAUACGAGUCACCACCACCACCACCUUACUAUUACAAAUCUCCUCCACCGCCUCCAUACAAGUAUGAGUCGCCACCACCACCUCCCUACAAAUACGAGUCACCACCACCACCACCUUACAAGUAUGAAUCCCCACCUCCACCUCCGUACAAGUAUGAAUCACCUCCACCGCCUCCAUACAAGUAUGAAUCCCCUCCUCCACCUCCCUACAAAUACGAGUCACCACCCCCACCACCUUAUUACUACAAAUCGCCUCCGCCACCGGAGUAUCAAUCACCUCCUUACGUGUAUAAAUCUCCAC
rnacentral:lncRNA from 1 species